rnacentral:rRNA from 1 species
UAGAGGAAGUAAAAGUCGUAACAAGGUUUCCGUAGGUGAACCUGCGGAAGGAUCAUUAUUGAAUCUUUUGAAAGGAGCUGUUUGCUGGCCCUUAAUYUUGGGCAUGUGCACGCUUCGUUCAAAUUCCAAACCCUCAUACACCUGUGCACCUUUUGUAGGACCGGUCGAAAGGCCGUUCCUAUGUUCAUUUAUAAACUCAACAGUAUGUGUAGAAUGUCAACGCGUGUAACGCAUCUUUAUACAACUUUCAGCAACGGAUCUCUUGGCUCUCGCAUCGAUGAAGAACGCAGCGAAAUGCGAUAAGUAAUGUGAAUUGCAGAAUUCAGUGAAUCAUCGAAUCUUUGAACGCACCUUGCGCUCCUUGGUAUUCCGAGGAGCAUGCCUGUUUGAGUGUCAUGGAAUCAUCAACUCUUUUCCUUCUUUGUUGAAGGGAUUGAGCUUGGACUUGGAGGCUUUAUGCCGGCCUUUGCGGGUCGGCUCCUCUUGAAUGCAUUAGCUUGAACCUUUGCUGUAUCAGCUGUUCGGUGUGAUAAUUGUCUACGCCGUCACUGUGAAGCAUUACAUUUUUGUGGGGCUCAGCUUCUAACCGUCCUGUAAAGGGGACAACAUCAUAAUUGACCUCUGACCUCAAAUCAGGUAGGAUUACCCGCUGAACUUAAGCAUAUCAAUAAGCGGAGGAAAAGAAACUAACAAGGAUUCCCCUAGUAACUGCGAGUGAAGCGGGAAAAGCUCAAAUUUAAAAUCUGGCGGUCCUUGCGGCUGUCCGAGUUGUAAUCUGGAGAAGUGCUUUCCGUGCUGGACCGUGUACAAGUCUCUUGGAACAGAGCGUCGUAGAGGGUGAGAAUCCCGUCUUUGACACGGACUACCAGUGCUUUGUGAUGCGCUCUCAAAGAGUCGAGUUGUUUGGGAAUGCAGCUCAAAAUGGGUGGUAAAUUCCAUCUAAAGCUAAAUAUUGGCGAGAGACCGAUAGCGAACAAGUACCGUGAGGGAAAGAUGAAAAGAACUUUGGAAAGAGAGUUAAACAGUACGUGAAAUUGCUGAAAGGGAAACACUUGAAGUCAGUCGCGUUGGCCGGAACUCAGCCUUGCUUUUGCUUGGUGCACUUUCUGGUCGACGGGUCAGCAUCAGUUUUGAUUGUCGGAUAAUGGUCGAGGGAAUGUGGCAUCUUCGGAUGUGUUAUAGCCCUUGGUCGCAUACGAUGGUUGGGACUGAGGAUCUCAGCACACCUUUAUGGUCGGGGUUCGCCCACGUUUGUGCUUAGGAUGCUGGCAUAAUGGCUUUAAAUGACCCGUCUUGAAACACGGACCAAGGAGUCUAACAUGCAUGCGAGUGUUUGGGUGGAAAACCCGAGCGCGUAAUGAAAGUGAAAGUUGAGACCUCUGUCGUGGAGGGCAUCGACGCCCGGACCAGACCUUCUGUGACGGCUCUGCGGUAGAGCAUGUAUGUUGGGACCCGAAAGAUGGUGAACUAUGCCUGAAUAGGGUGAAGCCAGAGGAAACUCUGGUGGAGGCUCGUAGCGAUUCUGACGUGCAAAUCGAUCGUCAAAUUUGGGUAUAGGGGCGAAAGAC